UAGGGAAUCUUCCGCAAUGGACGAAAGUCUGACGGAGCAACGCCGCGUGAGCGAAGAAGGCCUUCGGGUCGUAAAGCUCUGUUGUUAGGGAAGAACAAGUACGAGAGUAACUGCUCGUACCUUGACGGUACCUAACCAGAAAGCCACGGCUAACUACGUGCCAGCAGCCGCGGUAAUACGUAGGUGGCAAGCGUUGUCCGGAAUUAUUGGGCGUAAAGCGCGCGCAGGCGGUCCUUUAAGUCUGAUGUGAAAGCCCACGGCUCAACCGUGGAGGGUCAUUGGAAACUGGGGGACUUGAGUGCAGAAGAGAAGAGUGGAAUUCCACGUGUAGCGGUGAAAUGCGUAGAGAUGUGGAGGAACACCAGUGGCGAAGGCGACUCUUUGGUCUGUAACUGACGCUGAGGCGCGAAAGCGUGGGGAGCAAACAGGAUUAGAUACCCUGGUAGUCCACGCCGUAAACGAUGAGUGCUAAGUGUUAGAGGGUUUCCGCCCUUUAGUGCUGCAGCUAACGCAUUAAGCACUCCGCCUGGGGAGUACGGCCGCAAGGCUG
rnacentral:rRNA from 1 species